GAUGAACGCUAGCGGCAGGCCUAACACAUGCAAGUCGAGGGAGAAGCCCUUUCGGGGGCAGAAACCGGCGCACGGGUGCGUAACGCGUAUGCAACCUACCUUUCACAGGGGGAUAGCCCGAAGAAAUUUGGAUUAAUACCCCAUAAUAUUAUUGGAUGGCAUCAUUUGAUAAUUAAAACUGCGGUGGUGAAAGAUGGGCAUGCGUCCUAUUAGCUAGUUGGAGUGGUAACGGCACCCCAAGGCUACGAUAGGUAGGGGUCCUGAGAGGGAGAUCCCCCACACUGGUACUGAGACAGGGACCAGACUCCUACGGGAGGCAGCAGUGAGGAAUAUUGGUCAAUGGUCGGAAGACUGAACCAGCCAUGCCGCGUGCAGGAAGAAUGCCUUAUGGGUUGUAAACUGCUUUUAUAUGGGAAGAAUAAGGCGUACGUGUACGUUGAUGACGGUACCUUAUGAAUAAGCAUCGGCUAACUCCGUG
rnacentral:rRNA from 1 species